rnacentral:rRNA from 1 species
UACAGAGGGUGCAAGCGUUAAUCGGAAUUACUGGGCGUAAAGCGCGCGUAGGCGGCUUUUCAAGUCGAUUGUGAAAUCCCCGGGCUCAACCUGGGAACUGCAGUCGAGACUGUCUAGCUAGAGUAUGGGAGAGGGAAGUGGAAUUUCAGGUGUAGCGGUGAAAUGCGUAGAUAUCUGAAGGAACAUCAGUGGCGAAAGCGACUUCCUGGACCAAUACUGACGCUCAUGUGCGAAAGCGUGGGGAGCAAACAGG